AUGUGGGAAAGCUUUCCUCUCAGGAAAAUGCACACAUCCAACUUUGAGAAGAUGCCCUUGGGGGUGCUUCAAGGAUCCUAGAUAAUAACCCCCUUUCCCGAACAUCCAAGAACCUAAGUUUUUUUUUUUUUUUUGAGAAAGUCUCGCUCUCUCUCCCAUUCUGGAGUGCAGUGGCGUGAUCUUGGCUCACUGCAAGCUCCACCUCCCAGGUUCAAGCCAUUCUCCUGCCUCAGCCUCCCAAGUAGCUGGGGCUACAGGCACCUGCCACCACACCCGGCUAAUUUUUUUGUAUUUUUAGUAGAGACGGGGUUUCACCGUGUUAGCCAGAAUCGUCUUGAUCUCCUGACCUUGUGAUCCACCCGCCUCGGCCUCCCAAAGUGCUGGGAUUACAGGUGUGAGCCACCACGCCUGGUCCAAGAACCCAACUUUUAGAUCUAGAGUGAUGUCAGCAUGACAUUGAUUUCCUGAGGCCCAGGGGUGAAGGAGCUGAGGACAGCAGAGGGGUGAAGGAAGUCAGCUACAGACAGCAGCAGCUGAUGCACAGGCCUCCCAGUGCCUGAAGUCACCCGGAAUUGGGAAGUGCUCAGAAGCUUACAAAGCUGCCUCGAGGAAUCAUUCUAGCCUUCUCGUCUUGCUAAUUUGUAACCUCCCACUUCAACAGUGAGAAAGCUGGUUCCCACCAUCUGCGACUUAUACGGCACCGAAAGCGAAGGAAGCUCCUGCUCCUCCUAAAGCCGAAGCCAAAGCGAAGGCCUUAAAGGCCAAGAAGGCAGUGUUGAAAGGUGUCCGCAGCCACACGCAAAAAAGAAGAUCCGCAUGUCACUCACCUUCAGGCGGCCCAAGACACUGCGACUCCGGAGGCAGCCCAGAUAUCCUCGGAAGAGCACCCCCAGGAGAAACAAGCUUGGCCACUAUGCUAUCAUCAAGUUUCCGCUGACCACUGAGUCGGCCGUGAAGAAGAUAGAAGAAAACAACACGCUUGUGUUCACUGUGGAUGUUAAAGCCAACAAGCACCAGAUCAGACAGGCUGUGAAGAAGCUCUAUGACAGUGAUGUGGCCAAGGUCACCACCCUGAUUUGUCCUGAUAAAGAGAAGGCAUAUGUUCGACUUGCUCCUGAUUAUGAUGCUUUCGAUGUUGUAACAAAAUUGGGAUCACCUAAACUGAGUCCAGCUGGCUAACUCUAAAUAUAUGUGUAUCUUUUCAGCAUAAAAAAAAUAA
rnacentral:lncRNA from 1 species